GGGCUGGUAGAUCAGUGGAAGAUCGCCACCUUCGCAAGGUGGAGGCCGUGGGUUCAAAUCCCACCCAGUCCA
rfam:Thermoplasmatales archaeon SCGC AB-539-C06 MBGDC06_Contig59.59, whole genome shotgun sequence.